rnacentral:rRNA from 1 species
AUUGAACGCUGGCGGCAGGCUUAACACAUGCAAGUCGAGCGGGGUGAUGGUGCUUGCACUAUCACUUAGCGGCGGACGGGUGAGUAAUGCUUAGGAAUCUGCCUAUUAGUGGGGGACAACAUCUCGAAAGGGAUGCUAAUACCGCAUACGUCCUACGGGAGAAAGCAGGGGAUCACUUGUGACCUUGCGCUAAUAGAUGAGCCUAAGUCGGAUUAGCUAGUUGGUGGGGUAAAGGCCUACCAAGGCGACGAUCUGUAGCGGGUCUGAGAGGAUGAUCCGCCGAACUGGGACGGAGACACGGCCCAGACUCCUACGGGAGGCAGCAGUGGGGAAUAUUGGACAAUGGGGGGAACCCUGAUCCAGCCAUGCCGCGUGUGUGAAGAAGGCCUUAUGGUUGUAAAGCACUUUAAGCGAGGAGGAGGCUCUUUUGGUUAAUACCCAGAAUGAGUGGACGUUACUCGCAGAAUAAGCACCGGCUAACUCUGUGCCAGCAGCCGCCGUAA